rnacentral:rRNA from 1 species
AGCGAACGUUUGCGGCGGGCCUAACACAUGCAAGUCGAACGGGCAGUCCCUUCGGGGGCUGUCAGUGGCGCACGGGUGCGUAACACGUAGGUAAUCAACCCUCGGGUUCGGGAUAACACUUCGAAAGGGGUGCUAAUACCGGAUGCGACGAGCGUCUCCUCGGAGAUGCACGGGAAAGAUCCGCAAGGGUCGCCCGAGGACGAGCCUGCGGCCCAUCAGCUUGUUGGUGAGGUAAUGGCUCACCAAGGCUAAGACGGGUAGCUGGUCUGAGAGGAUGAUCAGUCACACUGGAACUGAGACACGGUCCAGACUCCUACGGGAGGCAGCAGUGGGGAAUAUUGCGCAAUGGGCAAAAGCCUGACGCAGCCACGCCGCGUGAGCGAUGAAGGCC